ACUUCCGGGGCAGUAGGAACGCCGAGUCGGCUGUUGUGGCUGUGCCGAGGGUGACGGUCGGAUAGGGACCCAGAACCCCACUUGACAGAUGAGGAAACGGAGAGGCAGACAGGUGACCUGACUUCCCCACAAUCGCUGCGGGACAGGAAGAAAGUCAACUCCAGAGCCCGUGCUCUUAGCUACUAAGCUGUACUGCUCUUCAUUUUGAUAAAGAUGAUAUUGAGACUCCACUGCUAACUGAAGCAGCCCCCAUCCUUAAAGAUGGAAACUGUGAGCCACCUGGGUGACAGAGUGAAACUCGUCUCAAAUUAUGUGUGAUCAUUUUUCUUUCUGCAGCUCCUGAGCCUACCAGAUUUGAAUUGCAGUGCCAAGAAUGAAAGGACAAUCCUCUGUACUGUAACCUGUCUAAGCUUUGCUUCCUUCAAUUCUCAGAACUCACCCUUGAGCUCUCAUUGUUUGCUACAGGGUAAUGCCUCCAUCUCUUUUUAGGUUUUACGAGAGGCAAAGGAGAAAGAAGAGAUACGGACCU
rnacentral:sRNA from 1 species